UUAACAGCUUUGCAGAAAGUAUCAGCUAGAACUUGGGGGUGAGGGACCCCCCAAAAGAGAGGAAGCUUAUCCAUUACACUCCGGAUGUGCUGACCCCUGUGAUUUUCCCAAAUGUGGGAAACUCGACUGCAUAAUUUGUGAUAGUGUGGGACUGUGUUCGUGCUUUCUCCUG